rnacentral:rRNA from 1 species
CUAAGUUUGAUGGCGACCGGCGCACGGGUGAGUAACACGUAUCCAACCUGCCGACGACUCGGGGAUAGCCUUUCGAAAGAAAGAUUAAUACCCGAUGGCAUAGUUCUUCCGCAUGGUGGAACUAUUAAAGAAUUUCGGUCAUCGAUGGGGAUGCGUUCCAUUAGGUUGUUGGCGGGGUAACGGCCCACCAAGCCUUCGAUGGAUAGGGGUUCUGAGAGGAAGGUCCCCCACAUUGGAACUGAGACACGGUCCAAACUCCUACGGGAGGCAGCAUG